CAGCUUCCAGAGCAGGUAUUUCAGGCUUCGGCAUGUGUGAAGGGUGCCGGAGACCCGUGCGUCGUCCUGCUGACUUCAGUCGUGGCCUCCACGUUAAGGCUUGGUCAGUGUUAGUACGUUCUUGGCAGCUUUCUUGUGUUGCUGCCUCUCCUUCAGUUCCACUUUUGGCACAGCAGGUAACAGAGUUGUUGCAGACAAGGUUUUAAGCAGUCUCCGGCAUUCUCAUCGGCCUGAGCCCCCACCAUACCACCCAGAGCUGCUUUGAAAGCCACCGCUGUUGGCUGUUAGUGUCUUGUUCAAACGUGUGCAUAUAGUGUUGUGCCUGGAGGUGCAGCAGUGCCCCUGGGGACCAUGCACGGGAUUCUGGUGUCUGUAGCCCUUUCUAGAAAGGACCCAGCGACCGCUGUGGACCGUGUGACCGUAGAAUAGUAAAGCUCAAAAAAAAAAACCCUCAAGAGGCUUGCUAAUUCACCUUGAUGCCUUAAUGGUGUUCACUAAUCCCAUCUCAUACCUGAUUGGUGAUUGUACAACCUGUUCUUCAAAGCCUUUGUUGCCCAGCCAGCUCAAACAACUUAGUCCAGAGCUCUCCGGUUCUUACUGCUAGAAAGACUUUCUCCUCCUAAAAUCUAGCCUGUGUAAACCUGAUAAAACAUGAUUAGCCUGUAGCCAUAAUCAAAAAGAAAACUUAAAUCUUCAUCCUUCAAGAAAUGAACUAGUUUGGGGAUAGUGGAAUAUCACUAUGAAUGUGUGGUACCCCUCUUUUGAAUUAUUUUAUCCCACUUGGUGCAAGUGGGAUUGAACGGUGCUCCUUUCCCUACAAUCCUUGUUCACUUUUUUUGCCUGUUCUUGCAGCAUAGAACAAAUGAAAAGCUCUCACAGGGCAUGUAACUUAAUGCCCCAUGAUACAAGAUCAAGGCAGGAAUAGUAAAGUCUUCUACCAUUCUGCCCAUUUUGAUGUACAAAACAAGCCACAUGCAGCUGCUGAUUGUUCUGGGGCAUCUCAUUUUGUCUCCUGUUGGCUUAUGCUUGCUUUCGGUGCAGUGAGAUUGCUUCUGAGCUGUUUCGGACCGUUGAGCAAUUUAAUUCCUGGGCUGACUGGCACAGUUCCAGGUCAUGCUAUCUGAUCCAGAGGCUGGGUUUAGCUGCUGCCUAUUGUCUCCACAGCCUGUGACCUGUUUGAUGUGCCCUGGGAAAGGGCCCAUACCCAGAAUGUUAUUCUAAAUGUUGUAGGCUACAGCUUCUGGCACUUCUGGUUUUAUGUACAUAUAUGGGCAUACACACAUGCAUUUACAGUGUCUUUUCAUGGGAAUUACCUCAUUAAGAGGUGAAGAGCACUUCUGUCACAGUCAUCAUCAUAUGUAGCUAGCAAACAAGGAGGGGAGGUGAAAGGAGGGCACAAAACUGUCAUUGCUCUGAUCUGCGAGGGAUGUUAGGACUUUCCCCUGUCCUUCCUCUUUGUGCUUGUGCACCUCACCCUUCUGCAGUGGGGCUCUGCUCCUUGUGAUGCUCUGCAAACCAGCCGCUUCCCCCGUUAUUCAUGAGCCUGAACUGGGUGACCCCGGAGCUUACUCUGAGGUGUGUGCUCUCAGAAUGAUUGUAGAACUCAAUAGUGGGUUGUUGCGUGUAGUUGUAGAUGAUUGCAAGGAACUGGUAAUAGUUGGGCUUGUUUUGAGGCUGUAGAGAAGAAAGCAUGAUCAACUUGUUUCAGUGAUGUGUUUUCACAUCUGCGGCAUGGUUUAGGGAUAAAUCAUGAGCUGCUGUGAAAACAUGGUGAUUGUGCAGAGCUGUCAGACAGAAACGUGCGAAUUCCAGACCUGACUAAAUAUUUAGCUGUUGUGGUACCAAAAAAAAGCCUGUCCUUAAAAGUCACUUCUCAAUCACUUGAGAAUCAGGCGAUGUUAAAAUCAAAGUUGUAUCAUUGUGAGCACAAGAGAGUGGGGUUAGACCAGUGGUUUCAAUUCUGGCAUGUUUACAGUGUCUUUUCCACUAUAUGGGCAGGACAAGGUGCAAAAUUCUUGCAAGCAUGAUGGCAAUACGGUUUUCCUGCUUUUUAUUUUUUAGGGUAAAGUCUGAACAGCCAAACCACUACAAGUGGGGCAGAGUGAAAAGCUACAUCUCAGCUGCUUUGUACCUGCCUGUCCGUGCUGCACAACUUUGUCAUUAUCUCUAGCACUGUACAAGUGCCUGGUGUUUGGCAUGGGCUCAAGUUCAAGCUCUUCCACUGCCAGCAUAUCUGUUUCUGUGGUUUUCAAACCAUACCAGGCAUCCCAGCAUGACAUGUGCCGAUUCCACUCCGAGGACUACAUAGACUUCCUGCAGAGAGUGAGUCCCAAUAACAUGCAGGGAUUCACCAAGAGCCUCAAUGCCUUCAACGUGGGCGAUGACUGCCCAGUGUUUCCAGGCCUCUUUGAAUUUUGCUCUCGCUAUACUGGGGCCUCCCUGCAGGGAGCAACACAGCUGAACAACAAGAUCUGUGAUAUUGCAAUAAACUGGGCAGGGGGCCUGCAUCAUGCCAAAAAGUUUGAGGCUUCUGGGUUUUGUUAUGUUAACGACAUAGUUAUUGGCAUCCUGGAGCUGCUCAAAUAUCAUCCACGUGUUCUAUAUAUUGAUAUUGAUAUCCAUCAUGGAGACGGUGUGCAGGAGGCUUUCUACUUGACGGACCGCGUCAUGACGGUGUCAUUUCAUAAAUAUGGGAACUAUUUCUUUCCUGGUACAGGUGACAUGUAUGAAGUUGGUGCAGAGAGUGGUCGUUACUACUGUCUCAACGUGCCUUUACGAGAUGGCAUUGAUGAUCAAAGUUAUAAACACCUCUUCCAGCCAGUCAUUAACCAGGUGGUAGAUUACUAUCAGCCCACCUGCAUAGUACUGCAGUGCGGUGCUGAUUCUCUGGGUUGUGACCGUUUGGGUUGUUUUAACCUCAGUAUAAGAGGACAUGGGGAGUGCGUGGAGUAUGUAAAGAGCUUCAACAUCCCCUUGCUGGUACUGGGAGGAGGUGGUUACACAGUUCGCAAUGUGGCACGAUGCUGGACUUAUGAAACAUCAUUGCUUGUAGAUGAAGCAAUUAGCGAAGAGCUCCCAUACAGUGAGUACUUUGAAUACUUUGCUCCAGACUUCACCCUUCAUCCUGAUGUCAGUACGAGGAUUGAAAAUCAGAACUCCAGGCAGUACUUGGAUCAGAUCAGGCAGACGAUAUUUGAGAAUCUGAAAAUGCUGAACCAUGCUCCCAGCGUGCAGAUCCAUGAUGUCCCUUCUGACUUGCUCAGCUAUGAUCGCACAGAUGAGCCUGAUCCAGAGGAAAGAGGCUCUGAGGAAAACUACAGCAGGCCUGAAGCUGCCAACGAGUUUUAUGACGGUGACCACGAUAACGACAAAGAGAGUGACGUUGAGAUCUGAGGGCUCUGAUGUGGGGCUCUGGACUGUGGGGGGUCCCGCAUUGGACAUGGGUGCUUGGAGCAGAUAACUGGGCCAUGUAGGAGCCAGUUAGCCCUUCCUUCAUAUUUGAUUGCAUGCGGUGGCAGCAGAAACAACACUACUGCAAGCUUCCGCUACCUGGAGAGGCAGAGAGCAGUGAAAUGUGUUCCUUACUUUCCACCAUGUGUCAUGGUUCCAGCUGUCAGCACUCUGGGAAAUGGAAAUUCAAGUAGGCUCCAAUCUGUGCUGUGUGCUGGAUGGCAGCUGUGCAGCUGCCUUCAGAGCCUGACCCAUGCUGGUUCAAUCACCUCCUGUAACUCCUGUGCAGGCUUCUGCCAGCAAGGUGGGAGCUGGAGCAGUUGUGCCUAUGAUCUCUGCCUCUCUUCAGCAGCAACACCUGAUACAUCGUACCCUGCCUGGCCCUCCACUCAGGUACCCAGUUGACUGUCCUCUGAAGCCUGCACUGAGAGUUGCUUCCUGAUGUCCCUUCUAACCAUCUGAUGCUCCACAGCUCAAGGAAAACUAUGCGAGAAGACAAGGCCAGCUGUGGAAUAGGGGUCAGGAGUGUCCCUGGAGCAGGGAGCAGCUUGAUGGAGCAGGAUGGAAGAAUGUAUGCAGAGCACAGUUUUGUUCAUUCCCCCCCACUCAGUUUUGUGUUCACAAAUGAGUACUGCAACACUUUGCCAAGUUGGACCUAAAUUCCCUGUUUUCUUUAUUCUUCGAGAGGCUAAAAUCACUGUGGAACAGAGGUUUGGCUGCCAAGGUUUUGGUGAAUGGACGCCAGAGUGUGGGAUCCAAAGCGUUUCAGGAGCGCCUCUGUCAUGGAAAGUGGAGAGGCAAAACCUGGCUCAGUGGGGACUAAGUAGGGUCCUGAUUACAGCUGGAGGUGAACCUGAGCAAGGAGAAGCAACAGCCUCUGAGGGAGAAGAAUGUGGUGGUCUGGGGGAGGUGGUG